AGCAUAUCAAUAAGCGGAGGAAAAGAAACCAACAGGGAUUGCCCUAGUAACGGCGAGUGAAGCGGCAACAGCUCAAAUUUGAAAUCUGGCUCUUUCAGGGUCCGAGUUGUAAUUUGUAGAGGGUGCUUUGGAGUUGACUGUGGUCUAAGUUCCUUGGAACAGGACGUCGCAGAGGGUGAGAAUCCCGUAUGUGGCCGCCAGUCUUCUCCGUGUAAAGCCCCUUCGACGAGUCGAGUUGUUUGGGAAUGCAGCUCUAAAUGGGAGGUAAAUUUCUUCUAAAGCUAAAUAUUGGCCAGAGACCGAUAGCGCACAAGUAGAGUGAUCGAAAGAUGAAAAGCACUUUGGAAAGAGAGUCAAAAAGCACGUGAAAUUGUUGAAAGGGAAGCGCUUGCAGCCAGACUUGCCUGUAGUUGCUCAUCCGGGCUUUUGCCCGGUGCACUCUUCUAUAGGCAGGCCAGCAUCAGUCGCGGCGGUUGGAUAAAUGUCUGCACAAUGUACCUCUCUUCGGGGAGGACUUAUAGGGCAGGCGGCAUACAACCAGCUGCGAUUGAGGUCCGCGCAUCUGCUAGGAUGCUGGCGUAAUGGCUGUAAGCGGCCCGUCUUGAAACACGGACCAAGGAGUCUAACAUCUAUGCGAGUGUUUGGGUGUCAAGCCCGAGCGCGUAAUGAAAGUGAACGGAGGUGGGAACCCCUCGGGGUGCACCAUCGACCGAUCCUGAUGUCUUCGGAUGGAUUUGAGUAAGAGCAUAGCUGUUGGGACCCGAAAGAUGGUGAACUAUGCCUGAAUAGGGUGAAGCCAGAGGAAACUCUGGUGGAGGCUCGCAGCGGUUCUGACGUGCAAAUCGAUCGUCAAAUUUGGGCAUAGGGGCGAAAGACUAAUCGAACUAUCUAGUAGCUGGUUCCUGCCGA
rnacentral:rRNA from 1 species